rnacentral:tRNA from 1 species
GGUCCUGUGGUCCAGUGGUUAAGACUCAUCCUUGACGUGGAUGUAACCCAAGUUCAAUUCUUAGCAGGACCA